rnacentral:rRNA from 1 species
AUGAACGCUGGCGGCGUGCCUAAUACCUGCCAGUCGAGCGCACAGACGAGGAGCUUGCUCCUCCGACGUUAGCGGCGGACGGGUGAGUAACACGUGGAUAACCUACCUAUAAGACUGGGAUAACUUCGGGAAACCGGAGCUAAUACCGGAUAAUAUAUUGAACCGCAUGGUUCAAUAGUGAAAGACGGUUUUGCUGUCACUUAUAGAUGGAUCCGCGCCGCAUUAGCUAGUUGGUAAGGUAACGGCUUACCAAGGCAACGAUGCGUAGCCGACCUGAGAGGGUGAUCGGCCACACUGGAACUGAGACACGGUCCAGACUCCUACGGGAGGCAGCAGUAGGGAAUCUUCCGCAAUGGGCGAAAGCUUGACGGAGCAACGCCGCGUGAGUGAUGAAGGUCUUCGGAUCGUAAAACUCUGUUAUUAGGGAAGAACAAAUGUGUAAGUAACUAUGCACGUCUUGACGGUACCUAAUCAGAAAGCCACGGCUAACUACGUG